CAUACCAAUCGUAGCUUUUACUUUUUCUAUGAAUUUGAUGCUUGAAAAUUAAAAAGGAAAUCUGAUGCUUAUAGCCUUAUACCGUAUCUCUUGCUCUUUGCCUUCGUCUCUCAUCUCUUUCCACCUCUCCAGGAACUUUUCUAAGAUCUAGCCGGCAACUGAAGUUCCUUUGCUUUUUUUUGUUGACAUUGAAGAGAAGGGUUCGUCUGCACUAGCCAGUGGUAUUUGAAGAGAAGGGUUCCUAAAGUUCCUCUAGAUCCUCUGGCUCUGCCUCUACCACCGUCUCUGCCUCCUCUGUCUCCUCUGUACAUAUAUAUUUUAAGCCAUUCUCUCCCAAUUAAAACACGCUUCCCCUUCCCCGUGAGAGAAAGGAAGUGUCUUCCUCUCUCGCAUCUGCAAGACGCCCAUUUCUUUCUUUGUCAUCAAACAGUCUUUGGAGCAGAGGACUGGUUUUGAGCUUCAAUGGUAGUUUCUUAACAUCACUGUCUUGUUCCUAAAAUUCCAGAGGAUUUAUAUCAUCUUAUUAAGAAGGCAAUCUCAACUAGAAAGCAUUCUGAGAGGAACAGGAAGGAUAAGGAUUCCAAGUUCCGUUCGAUUUUGGUUGAGAAAUUUGCAGGAGCAUCUUGUGUUACAAAACAAAAUCUACCUCCAUCUAAUUGAUCUAUGAUUGCUUGGAUGAAUGGAAUAUGGCUUUGCAUGGCAUAUUGUGAUAAUGGGAUUGUGGUUGAUGGUGGUUGCUCGUGGAAUGAAGUGUGUGGAAGAAGACUAUUUAAAAUAAUUUUUAUUUUUAUGUAUUGUUAGUUUAUUAAAUUCUAAGUUAAUUUUGAAGUUUAAGAUAUCAAAUAUGGUUGUAUUCUAUUUUAUAACUAAUAUUGGUUGUAAACUUGUUGUAGAAUUUAUUUGUUGUUGUAUGAUGUAUUUGUAUAAUUAGGUGAUAGCUAUAAACUUGUAUUGUAGUUGUA